rnacentral:rRNA from 1 species
CAGUCGCCACGGUAAUACGAGGGGGGCAAGCGUUGUUCGGAUUUAUUGGGCGUAAAGGGUGCGUAGGCGGUUUGGCAAGUCUUGUGUGAAAUCUUCGGGCUCAACCCGAAGCCUGCACGAGAAACUACCGGGCUUGAGUAUUGGAGAGGUGAGUGGAAUUUCCGGUGUAGCGGUGAAAUGCGUAGAUAUCGGAAGGAACACCUGUGGCGAAAGCGGCUCACUGGACAAUAACUGACGCUGAUGCACGGAAGCUAGGGGAGCAAACAGGAUUAGAUACCCCAGUAGUCCAUGUCUCUUAUAC